CGGGCAGGCGGUCUGUUAAGUCGUUUGUGAAAACCCGGGGCUCAACCCCGUGGAAUGCAGACGAUACUGGCAGACUGGAGACCGGUAGAGGCUAGCGGAAUUCCAGGUGUAGCGGUGGAAUGCGUAGAUAUCUGGAAGAACACCUGUGGCGAAGGCGGCUAGCUGGGCCGGGUCUGACGCUCAUCCGCGAAAGCGUGGGGAGCAAACA
rnacentral:rRNA from 1 species